CCAGGAUUCCAUCCCAGGAAAUCCCCUCCAGCUGCCUCUGCUCAUGAGAGACUCGCCCAGUCUCCUUGUCUCUUCCAGCUCUAACUUUCCUCUUAUUCAUCUCAAUUAGGUGGAGCUAAAUGUUCAAGUUUUCAGGAACCAGUAGUGAGGACUUGUUCCCAAGGAUGCAAGGGUGAGCUGGGUCUGAGAAACCAACCAGAAGGGUUGCCCAGAAGCACUGGGUAUGGAUCAGAGACUUGGUCACCCCAGCAGCUCUGACUUGGCCUCCAGUGUUUGACCCCGCCCCUUUGAAGCACCAUCCAGCACACUCUGCUGGGGUUUUAUGAUGACAUUAAACAAACCUCAACUGCCUUGGCCACCCUCCAGUGUCCACCCUACUCCCUAUCUUGUUAGCUGUCCAAGAGUUGACAGUCCAGAUGUGCAGAUGUGAUGAGCAGGACAGGGAGAAACAGCCUCAAGGUGAGCUGCCUGGCCUUGGGAAGAAAGAGUGGAGGGUACCACCCUUCCCACCCCUUGGUCAGUCUUCAAGAGUAAUUUCUUAGUGAAGCGCCUAUUUCAUGCCCAACCACAAGAUGUCAGCCCAAGCUUAGUCAUCUUGGCAUUUUCCUGGACCACAGAAUACUAUUCUUUUCUCUCUCGGACCAGGACGAGAAACUUUGAGAUCCUGAAGACCCUCAGGGUCAGGUAUAGAAACCACAAAGUCCUCUUGCCCUGGAAGCUCUUCAUGGAUGAGACCCAUGGCCUUCUUGAUCUGAGCAGAUGAAUAAUCUUUGGAUUCCAGGCACUGAACAAAUAACAGUUGAUCACCUUGAGCUCUAAGUAACUUCAAAAGGGCCUCUGCUAACAGCAGGUUGCACAGUCUCCGGAAAAGCCGCCUUUCCUUCCCACUGUGGUCCCCAAGCCUGGGAGGGCACUGGCCUCCUGGCCAAGUGUACCAACUGGUGCGUCCUGCACAAGUACCAGAAACCCUGUGUCCUUACCCCGGCAGAGAGGACACUGAGUACCUGCCUUCCACUGGGUGCAUGAAGGUGGCCCCGGGGCUGGGGCUGGCUCAGCAGCUCACUGAUGCCUUCGUGGAUGAAAAUGGCCUUCUACUUGCAGCCUCCCCUAUGUGUGGGCAGAACCUUCUCUCCCGGGUGUGAAAAGCCUAUGGUUCUCCAAAAAUCACAUUCUUGCCACACAACAGAGAAGGCAAAAAUGAGUGGCUUUUUCUUUCCUUGUGGAUUUUUGUGACGGUGGAAAAAACCUCUUCCAGACACCUUCAUAGCAGAUGUAGGCUUACAACUAACUCACUGGCCAGCCUGAAGUGGUCACCAGCAAGAGGAGCUGAGAUGCCAGGAUCUGUUUAGAUUGGUUAGACCCAUUUCCCAGGGCCUGACACUGCCCCAGACUGAACGAAAUGGGGCUCCAUGAUAAGGCCUGCUGGGGAGGCAGGUAGCAGAAUCUGCUUCACAAGAUAAAACACUGAUGACAAAGAAAAGACCUUCUAAAAAUCCAUCUGAAAUCUAUUCUCAGGAAAUCAACAAUAAAAAUGUAUACUGUGCAGAUAACUUAGUAGUGGAAGCUUUUAAAAAAUAUAACUUAAAUUUUGUGUCUCUCUAUUGACUACUUGCAAGAGUAAUUUGAGAAAAUUUGAUUAUUUUGAAUGCAUUCUUGGCCAAGUCAUUAAGUCUCAAUACAGUGGGGUAAAAACAAGAAAAGUUCUAAAAAAAAAAAAAGCAAGAAAAGUUUUCUAUUUCCCACAUUAUUACCCUCCUUGGCUAUUUGCUGCAUCCCCCGUCCAGUCCUUUAGGCACGUCUUGGGCAGAUUCCACGAUGUUCUAGUCACUUUCAAUUACCAAGAUUCUGCUCAUUUUAAAAUUUUAAUCUCAAUAGCUAUUUAUCUAAUUUUUUGAGGAAGAUUAGACCUGAGCUAACAUCUGCCAUCAAUCCUCCUCUUUUUGCUGACGAAGACUGGCCCUCAGCUAACAUCCAUGCCCAUCUUCCUCUACUUUAUAUGUGGGACACCUGCCACAGCACGGCUUGACAAGCCAUGCGUAGGUCCCAGGAUCUGAGCCAGUGAACCCUGGGCCACCGAAUUGGAACGUGCGAACUUAACCGCGGUGCCACUGGCCCGGCCACAAAAGUAGCUAUUUAAAAAUCUCACCUCUCUCCCUCUCCAAGCAAAGGCCCCACCUGUAGAAUGGAUGAGAUUGUGAUCUGCACUUUUCUUUCUUUACUCUGGCACCUUGGAGCUGGUGAAUGAGAAGACACAGUCCAUCUCUGAACUCUCUCUUGGUCCUCUUUCUUCUCACCUCCAGCUACUCUGAUGUUAGGUGAGGAAGAAGGGAUCAGAGAAAAUAGUAAAAGCCUUUUUCCCAGACCACAAAGGCAGUGUGAAUACGGACUGAAAUUCAUAUGAGAGCUGGCUUAUGGUGACAUAUUAUUAGAAGAGAUGUCCUCUCCUGAGGAGGUGCCAGAACCACAUUCCGGAGACUCCGGAAUCACCUGCCGGGCAUGCCGGAACCACCUCUCAGACGUGCCAGAACCAUGUGCCGGACACGCCGGAACCACCUGCCGAGUAUGCCGGAACCACCUUCUCCACUCCCCAGAACCACCUGCUGGACACGCCGGGACCACCUGCUUGACUCGCCAGAACCACCUGCCGGACACGCCAGAAUCGCCAGCCGGCUACGCCACAACCACUUGUCGGACACUCCAGAAUCACCUGCCGGGCAUGAAGCACAACCUCUCAGAACUUGGGUCCUAAGAUUUACCUCCUGUGCCCUCUUCUAUCCCAUAAAACCAAAUUAGAAGCUCAAGUUCACUAAGUUUCUUAGAAACUCUUGGCGAAGUUCCAGCUGUUUCACUUAACUCACAGGAUUCCUGUUUUCAAUUCAGUUUGGAGAUUACACAUAACUUUUUUUUUUUUGCCAGCUCAAUGAGGAACUUAAAAAAAAAAUUUUAAAAUAUUCCAUACAACAUUAUCAUUGUUUCGAUCAGGAGUGGCAUUCAGCAUACCUAAUAUAAUCUGGCAAGUUAUACAGCCCCACUUCUUUAAUCUUUAGCAAAUAGCCCAGCGCUGCUCAAGAGAACUUUCCCUGAAGGUGGAAAUGUUCCAUACCUCCACUGGCCAGUAUGGACUCCACUAGCGACAUGUGGCUGUUGAGCAUGUGAAAUAUGACUCCUUAGAUUAAAGAAGUGAAUUUUUAUUUUCAUUUAAUUCUAAUCAUUUUAAAUCUAAAUAACCAGUUGUGGUUAAUGGCUACCGUAUCUGAUAGCUGAGAGACAGACCUUUAUUCACCCAAACAUAAGUGCU
rnacentral:lncRNA from 1 species